AACGAACGCUGGCGGCAUGCCUAACACAUGCAAGUCGAACGAGACCUUCGGGUCUAUUGGCGCACGGGUGCGUAACGCGUGGGAACCUUCCCUUAGGUUCGGCCUAACUCCCCGAAAGGGGUGCUAAUUCCGGAUAAUGUCUUCUGACCAAAGAUUUAUCGCCUUUGGAUGGGCCCGCAUUGGAUUAGCUAGUUGGUAGGGUAAUAGCCUACCACGGCGACGAUCCAUAGCUGGUCUGGGAGGAGGAUCAGCCACACUGGGACUGAGACACGGCCCAGAAUCCUACGGGAGGCAGCAGUGGGGAAUAGUGGACAAUGGGCGAAAGCCUGAUCCAGCAAUGCCGCGUGAGUGAUGAAGGCCUUAGGGUUGUAAAGUUCUUUUAACCGGGAUGAUAAUGACAGUACCGGGAGAAUAAGCUCCGGCUAACUCCGUG
rnacentral:rRNA from 1 species